UAUAUGAUUUGACUACGAAACCGGUUUUCGAUUUGGUUUGACUGUUUUUUAUACAAGUGAGAUCAUUUUGAAAGCUGAUUUUGUCAAUGAAUACCA
rnacentral:pre_miRNA from 1 species